UGUGAACGUUACCAAUCUGUUGCCUCGGCGGGAUUCUCUUGCCCCGGGCGCGUCGCAGCCCCGGAUCCCAUGGCGCCCGCCGGAGGACCAACUCCAAACUCUUUUUUUCUCUCCGUCGCGGCUCCCGUCGCGGCUCUGUUUUAUUUUUGCUCUGAGCCUUUCUCGGCGACCCUAGCGGGCGUCUCGAAAAUGAAUCAAAACUUUCAACAACGGAUCUCUUGGUUCUGGCAUCGAUGAAGAACGCAGCGAAAUGCGAUAAGUAAUGUGAAUUGCAGAAUUCAGUGAAUCAUCGAAUCUUUGAACGCACAUUGCGCCCGCCAGUAUUCUGGCGGGCAUGCCUGUCCGAGCGUCAUUUCAACCCUCGAACCCCUCCGGGGGGUCGGCGUUGGGGAUCGGCCCCUCACCGGGCCGCCCCCGAAAUACAGUGGCGGUCUCGCCGCAGCCUCUCCUGCGCAGUAGUUUGCACACUCGCACCGGGAGCGCGGCGCGGCCACAGCCGUAAAACACCCCAAACUUCUGAAAUGUUGACCUCGGAUCAGGUAGGAAUACCCGCUGAACUUAAGCAUAUCAAUA
rnacentral:rRNA from 1 species